AGCUCCAAUAGCGUAUAUUAAAGUUGUUGCAGUUAAAAAGCUCGUAGUUGGAUUUGUGGCGUACGGUGUGUUCCGGGCACUUGUUGUCUGAGUAACCUGCUGUUGCCAUCCUUGGGUGGAACCUGUGUGGCAUUAGGUUGUCGUGCAGGGGAUGCCCAUCAUUUACUGUGAAAAAAUUAGAGUGUUCAAAGCAGGCUUAUGCCGUUGAAUAUAUUAGCAUGGAAUAAUGAGAUAGGACUUUUUUGCUAUUUUGUUGGUUUGCGCAAAGAGGUAAUGAUUAAUAGGGACAGUUGGGGGUAUUCGUAUUCCAUUGUCAGAGGUGAAAUUCUUGGAUUUUUGGAAGACGAACUACUGCGAAAGCAUUUACCAAGGAUGUUUUCAUUAAUCAAGAACGAAAGUA
rnacentral:rRNA from 1 species